ACUGAGUCUACCCAGGACAACGGGGCACAAUUGCGAGCAUCCUGACUGGCUGCAUCACUGCCUGGUAUGGGAAUUGUAAUUACCUCAAUCACAGGACUCUGCAGAGAGUGGUGCGGACACCCCAGCGCAUCUGUAGAUGUGAACUUCCCACUAUUCAGGACAUUUACAAAGACAGGCAUUGCCUUACUUAUUUAAACCCUUCUACCGGGGCAUAGGCCACCAACAGUAUCUCGCCAGAGUCGUCUGUCCUGGACCAGUCUUUCAUAUCAUCUCCUGGGUGUAGCCCAUCUUCUUGGUGAUGAGGGAUGAGGGUUUGGAGCUGUUGUUGGUAUUUUAGUGGAACUGGAUUUUUACAGGAUGGGGUCACUAAGCCCCAUGCUCAACCCUCCUCCUUUUGGGACUGUCCAUGAUGGAGUUACAGGCAAUGCCUAUUCCAUUCAAUCUGUUGUGUUACUGAUUUCCAGCUUUGGCAAUUUUUGUUUAGGUUACUAAUUGAAUUUUGUGAAUGAAACUAAUAUUUUAAUAUUUGCUUUGCAAAUGUCUUAUAUUCUAGAGAGAGAUAAUGCAGAUACAGAAUGCUUUUUUAUGUGUUCAUAAACCUUUGGUUUUUCUUAAAUUACUGAGAAAUCAGAUGUUAUUAUCCUG